rnacentral:misc_RNA from 1 species
GUCAUUUGUACCCUCAAGCUUUGCUUGGUGUUGGGUGUUUGUCCACUCCUUGUUGUUUGGACUCGCCUUAAAACAAUUGGCAGCCAGUGUUUUGGUUUGAAGCGCAGCACAAUUUGCGAUUCUGGCCUAACAACACUCGCGUCCACAAGUCUUUUUUAACUUUUGACCUCGGAUCAGGUAGGGAUACCCGCUGAACUUAA